CAUUCACACACACACACACAUGAAUACUCACCAGAGUAAGCCUGUGCCCAUUCCAUGCUCAUUUUGUGAAACGUGUCAGGUGCUGCUUGGCACUUACCAGUAAAUGAUGACUGCCAUCCCUCCUCGUUAAAAUGGAUUGGACGUCUAUUGGCAUGAACAGGACUGAAACAUGAUCAUUCAGCAGCCCUCCCAGUUAAACUUUUGUGGUCAGGAAUGUGGCUGCUCUCAGCAUGAAGUUGACUUCUGCGGUUUCGCCGCAUUCUUCACGCAGUCAGGAGUUCACAAAACAGUAGCAGGUCACCACUUACCUGAGUGCUACACAACCUGGACACUCAAAAAAGUGAGUAUCCAGACAAAUAUUUUUUUAACUUCAACAUCUUGCUUGCAUGAUUCUCCAAAUAAGAGGCGAAAGGUGCUUGCCUCAAAAUUAAACACUAUGAAAUCGAAAUGUUCACAUGAAAAUAUACAUUUUUGUUCAAUUAAAGUCCACAAGUCCAUAUGGUAACACAUGUUAAAGACAGGCCAAGUGAAAUGAGCAUAAGUGUUAUGAUAUUACAAGACUACAGUACAUGUGUGCAUCAACACAGACAUGUAUUCUCUUUGGUCUGUGGGAAGAACAUGUAUUAAAAUGGAAAAUGUGGUACAGUGAUCCCUCGCUACUUCGCGGUUCAAACUGUGCUUCCUCAGUCCAUCGCAGAUUUUUUUUUUUUUUUAAUUAAUAAAUAAAAAAAGUAAAAGGCAGUAUUUUAAAGAUCUGUCCAGAUUACGUAGUCUCUCACUCUUGCUCCUGUCGCUUUUCUUCGUCAGGCAGUGCACUGGAGUUGCUUAUUAAAGUUAACGAUGAUUGCCAGACGUCAAGGUUUGAUCUUACCAGAAACGCAUGGAAGCCGACACUUCUGCACGCUGCAUGCGUCAAUCAUUGUUUAACUUGCUAAACAGUUGCUGUGGCAACUUAUUGUGUGUAAGUGAGCCGCUUGAUUAGAUUUGAGUGGACCCCCUCAAUGAAGCAUUGGUAACA